rnacentral:rRNA from 1 species
GACGAACGCUGGCGGCGUGCUUAACACAUGCAAGUCGAACGGACUUACAUUGAAGCCUAGCGAUAUGUAAGUUAGUGGCGGACGGGUGAGUAACGCGUGGGUAACCUGCCUUGUACUGGGGGACAACAGUUGGAAACGACUGCUAAUACCGCAUAAGCGCACAGCUUCGCAUGAAGCAGUGUGAAAAACUCCGGUGGUACAAGAUGGACCCGCGUCUGAUUAGCUGGUUGGUGAGGUAACGGCCCACCAAGGCGACGAUCAGUAGCCGGCCUGAGAGGGUGAACGGCCACAUUGGGACUGAGACACGGCCCAAACUCCUACGGGAGGCAGCAGUGGGGAAUAUUGCACAAUGGGGGAAACCCUGAUGCAGCAACGCCGCGUGAGUGAAGAAGUAUUUCGGUAUGUAAAGCUCUAUCAGCAGGAAGAAAAUGACGGUACCUGACUAAGAAGCCCCGGCUAACUACGUG